rnacentral:rRNA from 1 species
CUACGUGCCAGCAGCCGCGGUAAUACGGGGGGUGCGAGCGUUAAUCGGAAUAACUGGGCGUAAAGGGCACGCAGGCGGUGACUUAAGUGAGAUGUGAAAGCCCCGGGCUUAACCUGGGAAUUGCAUUUCAUACUGGGUCGCUAGAGUACUUUAGGGAGGGGUAGAAUUCCACGUGUAGCGGUGAAAUGCGUAGAGAUGUGGAGGAAUACCGAAGGCGAAGGCAGCCCCUUGGGAAUGUACUGACGCUCAUGUGCGAAAGCGUGGGGAGCAAACAGGAUUAGAUACCCUGGUAGUCCAUGCCGUAAACGUUGGGCACUAGGUGUGGGGAACAUUCCACGUUUUCCGCGCCGUAGCUAACGCAUUAAGUGCCCCGCCUGGGGAGUACGGCCGCAAGGCUAAAACUCAAAGAAAUUGACGGGGGCCCGCACAAGCGGCGGAGCAUGCGGAUUAAUUCGAUGCAACGCGAAGAACCUUACCAAGGCUUGACAU